rnacentral:rRNA from 1 species
UACGGAGGGUGCAAGCGUUAUCCGGAUUUACUGGGUUUAAAGGGCGCGUAGGUGGAUUUGUAAGUCAGUGGUGAAAUCUCCGAGCUUAACUCGGAAACUGCCAUUGAUACUAUAAGUCUUGGAUUAUCUGGAAGUAAGCGGAAUAUGUCAUGUAGCGGUGAAAUGCUUAGAUAUGACAUAGAACACCAAUUGCGAAGGCAGCUUACUACGGAUCGAUUGACACUGAGGCACGAAGGCGUGGGGAUCAAACAGG